rnacentral:rRNA from 1 species
CAGCCGCCGCGGUAAGACGAACCGUGCGAACGUUAUUCGGAAUCACUGGGCUUAAAGCGCGUGUAGGCGGGCCGUCACGUCGGCUGCUGAAAUCCCCCAGCUCAACCGGGGAAGUGGCACCGAUACGAGCGGCCUUGAGGGGGGUAGGGGGGUCUGGAACUUCCGGUGUAGCGGUGAAAUGCGUAGAGAUGUGGAGGAACACCAGUGGCGAAGGCGACUCUCUGGUCUGUAACUGACGCUGAGGAGCGAAAGCGUGGGGAGCGAACAGGAUUAGAUACCCCAGUAGUCCCUGUCUCUUAUA